rnacentral:rRNA from 1 species
GAUGAACGCUAGCGGCAGGCUUAAUACAUGCAAGUCGAGGGACAGCACUGGUAGCAAUACUGGGUGGUAACCGGCAAACGGGUGCGGAACACGUACACAACCUUCCUUUAAGUGGGGGAUAGCCCAGAGAAAUUUGGAUUAAUACCCCGUAAUAUAGUUGAAUGGCAUCAUUUGAUUAUUAUAGCUACGGCGCUUAAUGAUGGGUGUGCGGCUGAUUAGAUAGUUGGCGGGGUAACGGCCCACCAAGUUUACGAUCAGUAGCUGAUGUGUGAGCAUGAUCAGCCACACGGGCACUGAGACACGGGCCCGACGCCUACGGGAGGCAGCAGUAAGGAAUAUUGGUCAAUGGACGCAAGUCUGAACCAGCCAUGCCGCGUGAAGGAUUAAGGUCCUCUGGAUUGUAAACUUCUUUUAUUUGGGACGAAAAAGGGCCUUUCUAGGUCAACUGACGGUACCAGAUGAAUAAGCACCGGCUAACUCCGUGCCAGCCGCCGAGUAACAC